AGUUUAUAAUGUAAUUGUUAGUUUUAUGGAUUAUUUUUGUAGGUUUAUAUUACAAGUCAUUUUUUUCUUUCUGUGUGCCGUUUGCUUUAUUUAUUUCUACGCUUUCGUUUGGUUUUUCGUUUCGCAUGUUGCCCUCUCUGUCGCACGCUUUUGACUCACGACUCAGUGUCCCUCUUCAUCAUCAUCUUCUUCUUCUUGUUACUCUUCGCAUGCGUGAGUGCUUGUGUGUGUGUGUGCUUAAGUUGAAUGUGCCGGUUUGUUCUGUUGACUUGUUGUUGCUGUUUUUGUCGUUGACGUUGGUCGUGUCAUGUUAAUUUGUGAGCUCUGCCUCUCUCGCUCUCUCCUUCCCCUUUUACGUCUGCGCUAGUUAUUUGGUAUGCUGUCGUGCUUCUUCUUGCUCUUCCAUUUCUGCUUCAUCUUCGCAUUCAAAAACAUGCAUACAUACAUACAUGCAUACUUACAUACGUACAGACAACUACGCAAACAACAUCAAGACAAUGCGCAGUAGAUAACAAAUAGCCUUCUCCCGCUCACCGUAGCCUCUUCUCCCUUCCGCUCAGUCAUACAAAUGUAUAUAUAUGCACAUAUAUAAAUUACGUGAGUCUGUUUGUAUCUAUGGCAACACAGCGUGAGAUAUAUAAGAUGUACAUAUAUAUGUAUGUUUGUAUGCAAUGGAUGUAUGUGGAAUGUGUGUGUGUGCGGAGCUUAUGCAGACAGCUGCUUUGUGUGUCAAAUUGUAGCGAAAAAAAUUGUGUUUUUUUGUGUACCAACGCGAAGAGGAAGAGAUCGAGAGUUGCUGAUAGAGUGGGACGUGGUGCAGAAGAGAAGACCGCGCAAGAAGAAGAGGCAACCAAGCGUGCAAAACUUGUAUUUCUAAACAAACGCACACGCUUUUCUUUGCGUGCAUGCGGAAUGGAAGGAUAAAGGAGGCGACAUAACUGGGGGACAGUAAUUUGGCAAAAUGUUUUUUGUUAUUUUUCCCGGGACGGCUAAAUGCCGGCUACAACAACAACAACAACAACGGUAACGACAUCAAAAACGAAAUGCCCAAAAAUAAGAGGAAAGAAAUAGGAGAAAAGAAAAAAAGAUCCAGAAAAGAAACCCCAACGGCAUAGUGGCUACACAGCGCAAAAAGUUGUCGAAUUUCAUAAUUCUUAAUAAAACUACUAAUAAUACAUCCUAUAUCCACCAAUUUUCUUUGCCUGUGUAGCGAUAAUAGAGCAAUGAGUGAAAGGGCAAGACGGUGCGAGCGGGUGCGAUAGAUUGCGAGAAAGAGAGGAACGGCAGUAUAACGGCAAUGGCAAUGCCAACAAAUUAAAGUUACUAAAGCAAAGAAAACGCCAAAAAAAGGAAAGAAAGAAAGACACGAGUGAGGGCAAUAAGAAGGAGUGAAGAUGGAAGAGAGAACCCGACGAAGCGACGAGGCAAUGAAUGCUGAAAUAAAAGAAUCGCAGAGAGCAGCGCAGCAGCAAAAAAUCAGCAGAAGGAGAAGGAGGAUAAGGAAGAGAUGAAGACGAAGAAGUGGAAGAAAGAAGGCAGGCUGAAAAACAAGAUGUGC